rnacentral:rRNA from 1 species
UACGUAGGGGGCUAGCGUUGUCCGGAAUCAUUGGGCGUAAAGAGCGUGUAGGCGGUCCGGUAAGUCCGCUGUGAAAGUCGGGGGCUCAACCCUCGAAUGCCGGUGGAUACUGUCGGGCUAGAGUGCGGAAGAGGCGAGUGGAAUUCCUGGUGUAGCGGUGAAAUGCGUAGAUAUCUGGAGGAACACCGGUGGCGAAGGCGGCAUCCUGGACCGGUAUUGACGCUGAGGCGCGAAAGCCAGGGGAGCAAACGGG